AAGAACGACCCGCGAAUCGUCAUUGCGUACUAGACAGAGCCCGUGAGCACCUAACGCUCAUGGGACUCGCGUCGCGUCGGCGUGGGUGUACUCGAGACCAGCGUCGUACCGGCGGACAAACAACGUCAGCACGGAUCGUGCCAAGGAGCUGCAUGGAGAGAAUCGUCGUCCCACGCCUUUGAUAGUCCUCGAUGCGGGACGGGGGGCGGGGGAUGUACGCAAUCUCUACUCAAGUCUAAACGACUCUCGGCAACGGAUAUCUCGGCUCUUGCAUCGAUGAAGAACGUAGCGAAAUGCGAUACUUGGUGUGAAUUGCAGAAUCCCGCGAACCAUCAAUUCUUUGAACGCAAGUUGCGCCCGAAGCCAUUCGGCCGAGGGCACGCCUGCCUGGGUGUCGUGAAUCCCCUUGCCCCUAGGCACCCGCAUGAGCAUUGGCGGGGAUAUAUGCUCGGGCGCAGAAUAUGGUCUCCCGUGGGAUCGGCAUGCACGGCAUGUCGAGGUGCGGUUGGCCGAAAAUCGAGCAAUGGCUGUGACGGGCACCACGGCGUUCGGUGGAUCGAAUGAGAUUGGCUGCCCGUGGGCUCGGCAUUAGCGGCUUCCGGACUUUGAGUAUCCCGAGUGCGAUCCCAAGUCAAGGGGGCUACCCGCUGAGUUUAAG
rnacentral:rRNA from 1 species